UUCGAGGUCAGCUCCCAUGUGGUAAACUCGGAAGUUCACCAGUUGAUGCAGGAAGUGGAAGCGGGAGCCCACAGAAGAACAGAAGGAGCUUGGUCAGCGUGGUGGGCUACUGCAUCUCACCAGCUCCGGUCAAACCGUACAAGGCUCGAAGUCUUGAAUCAAUCUGUGCGAUUCAUCUGAGCUGAAUGCGCUCGAGCAGCUUAACGUAAAGAGUCGACUCAUCAGAACGAUUCGUUGAUGAAUCGACUCACCGGAGUCUUCAGGUGGAGCUGCCGAGCCUCCUCGUCGGUGGAAGAAUAGGCCCAAUUUCUUGGCUUUUCCUGGUGUGGAAUCCAGUCACUGACCUGUGGAUAUCAGAAAGAGACAGAUGGCCAAGUCCAUUGAAAACGAUGAAUACACAGUUGACAGUCCAGAUCUGGAUGUACAUGUGGAGGGUGCGAAUUUGAAGUAUUUGGAAUUUGAUGACGACAGGCAGCGGAUGAGUGAUAUUGGAGUUAAGAUGAAGUUUCUAUGUGAUGAGAUUGAAGUGCAGCCGUACGCUAAUGACGACGGAAUGUGGAAAUCGCUCUACCAAACGCUGGAAAUAGGAAUGAAUUCCUUCAAGAACCUGUUCACACAGUCAGGGAUGUCCGAUGUCCAGCCAAUGGUGAGGUCAGAGACGGCAAGCCUGACCUCCAGAGCGAGCCCACAGAACAGCGGUGCAGAAUGGAGGUCAAGAACUGUUUGUUUAUCCUGCUCUAGUGUGAAGGCUGCUAUUCAGGACAAGACAGAAUGGAAGCUCAUUGAACCUGUCGCUAUGGCUACUCUACUAAAUGAAGACAUAAAGUACAGAGGUAAACAAUCACAACUGCCAACAAAUGCCAGCCACUCCCGGAGGGUUCAGCUUCAUCUUCGCCAGCAUCACAGGAGACAUCAUGAAGUUACAAUGGCUUACAGCUGGACUCAUCACCCAGAAUGUGUUGGAGCUCACUGUAGAAAGGGUGCUGUCACUUUUUCGGAUUCUUUAAACUUUGCUUUUUUAACUGUUUUUUGAUGCUGCAGCCUCACUCUCCUACAGCUGUGUUCAGCCCUUUCUUUCAAAGUCUCUUCGACGGCAGAGCGGCUGCAAUAAAUGCCUCUUCGUUUUUUGGUACAGAAACAUGAGCCUAAAUGUUUGAGUCCCAGCAAUGCGAAAUAAUGAAGAAUGUCAAGUUGAACUGAUGUAAAAGUUGCAUGAAUUUCAAUCUGGCUGUUCAGACUGAGUUGCACUGCUGCAUAUCGGACAUGUAUCGGAUUUCAGUACCACAUAUGAAAGUGCCUCAGAUCGGAAUUGAAUGUCAAAUUCAGUGUGUUGUUGUUUUCUUUUGUUUGUUUGUUUGUUUGUUUUUUUACCUGCUGUGUGAAUGUAGCCUUAGUGGGUCGCUCACCAGUCAUUCUUACCAAUGAACCAUGAUAUCAUGUACCUAGAGCUUUUAGCAGAUUCUGCAACAGUCCAAAGUCUUGCUGAUUAACUGUGUAGCAUCUGAAUCUUUUACCCAAGUCUGUGAAUCUGCGAGUUUUGUUUUUGGGUUCUGCACUGCUAAGUGGAAUUUGUCAGCUUUAAUCAGUCAAAAGUCUG
ensembl:lncRNA